UACGGAGGGUGCAAGCGUUAUCCGGAUUCACUGGGCUUAAAGCGUGUGUAGGUGGAUUUGUAAGUACCUUGUGAAAUCCCAUGGCUCAACCAUGGAACUGCUCGGUAUACUGCGAAUCUUGAGCCACUUAGGGGCUACCGGAACAAAUGGUGGAGCGGUGAAAUGCGUAGAUAUCAUUUGGAACGCCAAUGGUGAAAACAGGUAGCUGGGAGUGUGCUGACACUGAGACACGAAAGCCAGGGGAGCGAACGGG
rnacentral:rRNA from 1 species